rnacentral:rRNA from 1 species
UACGGAAGGCAGCAGUGGGGAAUAUUGCACAAUGGGCGCAAGCCUGAUGCAGCCAUGCCGCGUGUAUGAAAAAGGCCUUCGGGUUGUAAAGUACUUUCAGUCGUGAGGAAGGUGUUAAGGUUAAUAACCUUAGCAAUUGACGUUAGCGACAGAAGAAGCACCGGCUAACUCCGUGCCAGCAGCCGCGGUAAUACGGAGGGUGCGAGCGUUAAUCGGAAUUACUGGGCGUAAAGGGCACGCAGGCGGUUAAUUAAGUUGGAUGUGAAAUCCCCGGGCUUAACCUGGGAAUGGCAUUCAAGACUGGUUAGCUAGAGUCUUGUAGAGGGGGUAGAAUUCCAUGUGUAGCGGUGAAAUGCGUAGAGAUGUGGAGGAAUACCGGUGGCGAAGGCGGCCCCUGGACAAAACUGACGCUCAUGUGCGAAAGCGUGGGGAGCAAACAGGGAUUAGAUACC